rnacentral:rRNA from 1 species
AUCCUGUCUGAAUAUGGGGGGACCAUCCUCCAAGGCUAAAUACUCCUGACUGACCGAUAGUGAACCAGUACCGUGAGGGAAAGGCGAAAAGAACCCCGGCGAGGGGAGUGAAAAAGAACCUGAAACCGUGUACGUACAAGCAGUGGGAGCCUCUUUUAUGGGGUGACUGCGUACCUUUUGUAUAAUGGGUCAGCGACUUAUAUUCUGUAGCAAGGUUAACCGAAUAGGGGAGCCGAAGGGAAACCGAGUCUUAACUGGGCGUUAAGUUGCAGGGUAUAGACCCGAAACCCGGUGAUCUAGCCAUGGGCAGGUUGAAGGUUGGGUAACACUAACUGGAGGACCGAACCGACUAAUGUUGAAAAAUUAGCGGAUGACUUGUGGCUGGGGGUGAAAGGCCAAUCAAACCGGGAGAUAGCUGGUUCUCCCCGAAAGCUAUUUAGGUAGCGCCUCGUGAAUUCAUCUCCGGGGGUAGAGCACUGUUUCGGCAAGGGGGUCAUCCCGACUUACCAACCCGAUGCAAACUGCGAAUACCGGAGAAUGUUAUCACGGGAGACACACG